GCCCGUGGUUGAGGAUGUGGCCUCGCACAGAGGGAACCGCUGGAUGUGGGCGCAUCCUCCGGAGGGCGGGUGCGUCCACAUUGGUAGCGAACCGGGUUAGGCCCGGGAGGGAGCGGCCCUAAGCUACACAGCGGUUGCUCUCUGUCCCCGGGGUUGAACUCGUCACGAGCUUGUGGUGCGGUAGUAAGGUUGGAACCAGGGGGGCCGCCGCCA
rnacentral:SRP_RNA from 1 species